rnacentral:rRNA from 1 species
AGCGAACGCUGGCGGCAGGCCUAACACAUGCAAGUCGAACGAAGCCUUCGGGCUUAGUGGCGGACGGGUGAGUAACACGUGGGAACGUACCUUUUGGUUCGGAAUAACGCAGAGAAAUUUGCUCUAAUACCGAAUGAGCCCUUCGGGGGAAAGAUUUAUCGCCGACAGGUCGGCCCGCGUUGGAUUAGGUAAUUGGUGUGGUAAAGGCGCACCAAGACUACGAUCCAUAGCUGGUGUGAGAGGAUGAUCAGCCACACUGGGACUGAGACACGGCCAAGACUCCUACGGGAGGCAGCGGUGGGGAAGCUUGCGCAAUGUGCGAAAGCCUGACGCAGCCAUGCCGCGUGAAUGAUGAAGGUAUUAGGAUUGUAAAAUUCUUUUACCAGGGACGAUAAUGACGGUACUUGGAGAAAAAGCCCCGGCUAACUUCGUGCCAGCAGCCGCAGUAAUAC